GUACUAGCUACGGCGGUACAUAUUGUAAAAUUGGAACGAUACAGAGAAGAUUAGCAUGGCCCCUGCGUAAGGAUGACAUGUGUGUGUGUGUGUGUGUGUGUGUGUGU
rfam:Octopus bimaculoides Scaffold77346_contig_59, whole genome shotgun sequence.